rnacentral:ncRNA from 2 species
CUGUCCGAGGGGCGCUGCAGCAGGUCAGACCUGUCAGGCUCGGAUGGGGCGUUGUUUGCUCAAGGCUCUUCAGCAGCCUUAGCAAGCCUUAAACGCACAACGGCGCCCAUUCGCA